rnacentral:tRNA from 1 species
CCCCCGAUGGUCUAGUUGGAUAUGGCGUCCGGCUGCAAACCGGAAGGUCGCCGGCUAUUCCGGCUCGGGGGA